UGGUUUGGCAUUAGUUAUUGUUAUCUAGAUUUUGUAUCUUUAUGUGGAAAUGAGUUAUAGCUGGAAAAUGAGAAGCAGAGUAAGCAAAUUACGAAGAUACCUCCAGAAGAGUACAAAAUGCCACUGGUAUGGAUUGACUUGGAAAUGACUGGUGAGGGUAAAAUAAUUCCUUGGAGUGAAGCUCCUUAUAAGGAUGCUGCAGAGAGAACGGCAUCUGGGAAUUUACCUCUUAAUGCAUUUUUGUCUGAGUGGGCCCUCAUGACACUUUUAAAUCCAAACCGAAGUUUGGCGAAUUUGAUAUAUGUUGGAUACAAUGGCAGUCCUGCUUCAGCUAUCCAUGUUACUAGAAGAAGAUCAGUAGAUCGUAAAAGGAAAAAAACGGAAAGAAAUGUUAGCUGCUUCAUUUUUGGUCCUAAAAAUGCAGGAAAAUCCCCUCUUUUAAAUUCAUUCAUAGGAAGGUAUGGUUUUCCCCCUUCACUGUACUCAACAUAGUUAAUUAGUUCCGUAUAUUAUAAAUGUGAAGAGAAAGGGUACCACCAUACCUAAUCCCGUUUUCUGAAUCUUUGGUAUAACAAAAUUUAUUGGGUGAUAACUUCCUAGCUCUCAGAUGCUGUUAUAGUUCUACACAAAUGAACUCUUUUGCUCCUAAAACUACCCAAUUUUCUUUUCUUUUUUCUUUUCAAACUGAGACAGAGCUCACCGUGUCUGCUAUCCCUUUCCUGUUUGACUCUGAUCUAUCUUCCAUCUUAAAAAAGUAUAGCAUCUGAUGAUUACAUAUGAUGGGAUUGUCUCUUGGUAAGUGCAACGAUUCCCCUUUCAAUUUCUCAUGUCUCCUAAAUCCCUAAGAUUGUAUUUUUGCCUGAUGAGAAGAGAUUCAUACUCCUCUUGCCUCUAAACACUUAAUUUGGAGUAUGCAGUUUUGACUCCUGUUAUAUUCUCAUUAGGGAAUAGGGAUACAAAGCUCAAUACUUUCGAAUGAUAAAAGUUUUUGUCAAGAUUCUGACUUGAUAUAUGUGCGUAGAUAUGUAGCCUAUAGAGAGAGCUAUAUUCACUGAUAACAAAUGGAUGUGUAGGGACGUAUGAGACAACAAUCACUCAUUCUUGUGUAUACUUCUCAUAUUGUCAUUGAUUGCUUUAGGUGGUAAUUAUGUCGCUCCUUGAGAUAAUAAUAUGACUGAAAUGCUCUCUGAUUUGUGAAUAGAUCAUUUUUGCAGCAUUUUUCCUUUGUGGGUAUUUAUAAAAUUUAAGUUGUUCAUGCAAGUGAAUCUUUUAAAUGUGGUCCAGAUUAUAAAAAAUGCAGAUCUUGAAUAAUUACGGGAAUUAUGAUCUGGUACAUAUGGAACUGUUUAUCAUGGAAAAUGGCGGGGAACAGAUGUUGCUAUAAAGCGAAUAAAAAAGAGCUGUUUUGCAGGAAGAUCAUCAGAGCAAGACCGACUGACAAAGGACUUCUGGAGAGAGGCGCAAAUCCUUUCAGCUCUCCAUCAUCCAAAUGUGGUUGCAUUAUAUGGGGUAGUACCUGAUGGAGCUGGAGGAACGUUGGCAACUGUAACUGAGUACAUGGUGAACGGAUCACUUAGGCAUGCCCUACUUAAAAAGAAUAGAUCACUUGACCGUCGUAGAAAGCUUAUAAUUGCCAUGGAUGCUGCUUUUGGCAUGGAAUAAUUGCAUU